rnacentral:rRNA from 1 species
CACGUAGGGCGCGAGCGUUGUCCGGAAUUAUUGGGCGUAAAGAGCUCGUAGGCGGCCUGUUGCGUCCGCUGUGAAAGCCCGGGGCUUAACCCCGGGUCUGCAGUGGAUACGGGCAGGCUAGAGGUAGGUAGGGGAGAAUGGAAUUCCCGGUGUAGCGGUGAAAUGCGCAGAUAUCGGGAGGAACACCAGUGGCGAAGGCGGCUAUCUGGGCUGCAACUGACGCUGAGGCGCGAAGGCUAGGGUAGCAAACAGG